GGACCCAAAUAUCAUUCAGGUCAGAGUUUGGGUCUGGGUCUGGGUCCGGUUCCGGAUGUGGCUGGACCCAACCCACUGUAACCCCUAACCUCAUCUCUCUCUGUACCAAGAGUCUCUCCCACGCCAUCAUCUCUCUCUCUCUAGUUCUCUCUUUCUCCCUCUUCCCAACUCUAUCCAACAUCCUAAUCGUUCUCUCUCUCACCCACUCAUCCCUUCUCCUUCUCCCUUUGCCCCCAACCUCUCUCUCUCUCUCUCUGCCCCCAACUCUUUCUCACGCCAUGACCCCUCCCUCUCUCUCUCUACUCCCAAUCUGUUUCUCAAGCGCUUAUUCUCUCCCCUCUCUCUCUCCUCCAGGCUCUCGCUUUCUCUGUCUCUGCCUUAAUUCCCACGGACUUACCCCAAAGGAACAUGUUGUUUUCAAAUUACGGGCAGCACUCCCCCUGGGUUUUUUUUUUUCAAUUUACCCCCGUUCGAUAAAUCGAACCCCAAACAAGAUUUUUGUGCGUUUAAAUAAAAAGAAGUUGUCCGCCUGACACCUCUUUGCCUCCUUUUAAACGAAACUGCGCCCGUUUGGCUUCGCCCUACCAGAGAGCUCUGUUCUUCUCUCUCGUUCUCUCUUUGCCAAGCCCAAGCCUGCACUUUUCUCGCUCGAUCUUUGGUCUAGCAGAAACCCAAGCUUCGCAAACCACAAUCGAAUCAGGUGGUUGAAGUGAUGAUUGCUAAAUUGUGAAGCCUUCUUGUGAUUGUUUAUGUAAGUAUUGUGUGUGAGAGCGCUUUUAUAUCAAAAGUAAUGAAAGUUGACAUUCUCCACCAAAAAAAAAGCCUUUAGAUGGCUGAAUUUUGGAUGUUAAGCUGCUGGUGUUUUCAUAAAGUGAUGCACAUGCUGAAUUUAGAUAUCCACAACUUCUCAUUCUUGAUAUCCACAACUUCUCAUUCUUUUUAUCUCUACAAAUUUCCAUGUUUGUUGGGUUUCAUGCUAUAUCUUUUUCAUUGAGGCAUUCUUUUUAUAUAUUGUGAUGAUUUUGAGUUAAGUUGAAAUUGGUGCACAUAAGUGUGUAUGCCAUUUACUUUAGUAUGCAUGUUACCAACACAUCAUGGCAUGCAUUUCAAAGCCCAUGGCACAUGAAGAGGAGUUGUUGUACAUGAAAAAUGUUCAUGUUUGCACAUUAGCUGCCGAUGGCGUGGAUAGGACGAAGAUUCAUAUUGAUGAGGCUUUUAGUAUCAUUAGACAUUGGCCCCUUACAGCUGAGCAGCAGGAUUUGGUUCAAAGAACGGGGCUAUGAUCUCUUGUUCAGUACGCUACCAAGGAGGGGGCAUCGCGACAAAUUGACCACCCUCUUAUGGAGGCAGUGAUAGAGAGAUGGCGUCCAGAGACGAAUUCACUGCACUGUUCGCGACGUGUUGGUGAGAUGAUACCAACCUUAUAUGAUGUGUGGCGUACUUUACGGAUCAGAGUUGCAGGCCAGUAUGCAUGGGGGGCCACGACCCUUGUAUAUCUUUUUAAGGGCCACAAGAAGUUCGUAACUUUAAAACAAAGAAGGGGCGUGAUGGUCAGAGGGCACCUGGUUCUCACCUCACUGGGUGUACGGCAUUACUUCACGUAAACUCAUUUUGUUUUGCUAAUUAUUAUUUUUUUGUAUGUGUCAAAGUCAUUGAUUUGUAGGUUUCAUGCAUUUUUUUCAGCUAUAUAAAUGCAUAUGUAGUUAUUGUAUGUUUGCUGUCUAGUCAUCGGUAUUUGAGCAUUUCAAAACAUUGCAGUAUGAUGAAAGUAGUCGACGAGUUGAUACUGGUAUACCAAGGGCUGCAAGAUGGGUAUAUCUAAGCAAAUGGGAAAACCCAAAUACUAAUCUCGCAUACUAUCGGCAAGAAUUAAAUCUCCUUGAACCUGAAAGGGUAUAAUUGUGAUGCUUAUUAGUUCAUAUACUCUUGCGCCUUAUAGUUAUUCAUGAUUAAUCAUGUAUCUUUGUGUAUAUAUGUAUUGUUAUCCAUUCCUAUAAAGUAUUAUGGAACCCAUAUACAAAAAAGAAAGAUCGUGGUGCUGAGCAUGUCUAUCAAAGGGGUCUAGAUCGAGAGGCAUUGGAGAUCGCUCUUUGUACGACAUAUGUGGAAUUCGACAACGUAGCAAAACGAUACCUCCCAAGCCGGGUACGAGACAAUUUGGACUGAGAUAACCCAUCCCAGCCGAUCCCGGUAGAUGGGAUAGAUUUGAGAGGUGGGGUAAAAAUGAUGAAAACUAGGAGCAGAAACUCGCAUCUCAAAUAAGAGACUGGCACGAACGGCUUCAGUACUGUAAACCAGGCGAGCAAUACCCGAGUCGAGGUCUACCUUCAAAGGAGUAUGAAGCGUGGUGCACUUUACCGCUACAACUACGGAUGCAUCUGUAUGCAAACUGCACCCUUCUUCAUUUGUGGUGUUUCAGUUGUCUAAAGUAGACCAUUUGAUUGGAAUUGUUCACAAUGGGCUAGAGGCUCAAGACCCCGGGAUGAAAGAUCUAUAUUUUAGAUAGACCAGGCGAGAGUUGAUAUUGUCUAAAGGAGAGCUCAUUAAGCAAGAACAAGAGUCUCGUGAAGAUUCUGAAAAGAGCUUGUAUUGGCUGUUGAGCCACAGAUGCAGAGCAGCCGCGGAAGAACUCCAAGAGAACGAUCCACACGGUCUUAGGGCCUCAAGAUUGAUAAGAGAGUGGGUCCCAGUUCACCAACCAUUGGGAAGAGGAUGAAACUACUUGCCCCAGAAGAGGACGUUGAUUUUAUAUUGUAAACUUUCGAUGUAAUUUGGAAUUCUUUUGAUAAUGUCAAUGUAAAUUUGAAAACUCUCUUGGGUUACAAUUUUGUUGUAAACUUGGCUUUGAAUGGAAAUAUAUAUUUUUAUUUGCAA